rnacentral:rRNA from 1 species
CAGCAGCCACGGGAAUACGUAGGUGGCAAGCGUUGUCCGGAAUUAUUGGGCGUAAAGGGCUCGCAGGCGGUUUCUUAAGUCUGAUGUGAAAGCCCCCGGCUCAACCGGGGAGGGUCAUUGGAAGCUGGGAAACUUGAGUGCAGAAGAGGAGAGUGGAAUUCCUAGUGUAGCGGUGAAAUGCGUAGAGAUUAGGAGGAACACCAGUGGCGAAGGCGGCUUUUUGGCCUGUAACUGACACUGAGGCGCGAAAGCGUGGGGAGCAAACAGGAUUAGAUACCCCAGUAGUCCCUGUCUCUUAUAC